GGUCCUGUACAGAGAAUUGGUUUAAAGUGGAUUACAGCGACACCUUCAGUUUGAAUCGUUGGCGUUUUUAAGGGACACAGACUCCAUUUCCCAUGAGCACUAGCACCUACUGUCAUAAGGGCAGAACUGUGUCCAAGGUGAGUUUGUUUUGAAGUCUGAUG